UUUUAUUUAACAACAUUUAUUUCCUAUUUUGUGGUAUUUUAAAAAUGUUAUUGCUUAUUUCAUUACUGUUGUUUUUCUGACAGGGUAGCCUUGAACUCACAGAGAUCUGCCUGUCUCUAGCUCCCCAAGUGCUGGGAUAUGUGUCAGCACAUUUGAGUAUUGUUAUGAUUACGAUUAUUUUAUUUAUUUACAAUCCAGCCAGUUGCCCUCCUGGUCUCCUCCCUCACAGUUCCCCAUCCCAUUCCUUCUCUCCUCUGUCUCUGAGAGGAUGCUCCGCCACACCCAGGUCUCCCCCCUCCCUGGGGCCUCAAGUCUCUCGAGGAUUAGAUGCAUCUUCUUCCAUUGAAUAGAAUACUUUUGUUCAUUCUUUGACUAUCUAUCUAUCUAUCUAUCUAUCUAUCUAUCUAUCUAUCUAUCUAUCUAUCUAUCUAUCUAUCUAUCUAUCUAACAUGUCUCCAUUGCCCCUUCAUGUCCUCUGGUUUCCUUUGUUAAUAACCUACUACCUCCAGUUGGCGCUGUUGGUUAGAAUGUCACCUGAUUGUACUGACUUGAUCUUGUGACAGAAACCACAGCUACAUGUUCAUGAGAGCCAUGCCCAUGUCCUGAAGACUGCCUUCCACAACACUCCUCCUCACCCUCCAGUUCUGACACUCUUUCAGCCCCUCUUCCAGAAUAGUAGUGCCUGAGCUUUGGGUAGGAAUUAGUACAGAUGACAUCUUUAGGUCUGACUACUCAACAGAUAAAUAUUCUCAGCACAGUUGUGAAUCUCUGCAUUAACUGCUAACUGCAACAGAGAGGAGCUUUCCUGGCCAAAGUUGAAGGCAGUACUAAUCUCUGAAUGUGAGCAUAACUGUUUCGUAGGUGGUUUAACAACAUGUCCAAAACAACAACAACAACAACAACAACAACAACAGCAACAACAACAACACAGCAGUAGAGGGUUUCUCCCAGAGCUGGUGACCUCCUAGGCCAUUGGCUUUUGACCAGGUUAAUGGUAUGAGACAUGAAUUUCUUCCUGUGGAAUAGGCCUCAGAUGAAUCUAAAAGCCCAUAACCUUGAUGCCAUUACUAUAGCCCUGGGCACAUCUAUCCUGGCAGGUCAGUCUAGCAGCCUCACUAGCUAGCCAGCAGGAAGAAACUUUUUUUAAAUUAAUUUAUUUACAUCAAACAUUGUACCUCCUCCUGAUCCUCCCUCACAGAGACCCUCCCCACAUGAUGACUGUGGUACCUGUUCCCUAACAGGGUUCCCGUGUCUGGCCUCAGUGAGAGACGAUGCGCCUACCCUGGCAGGGAGAAACUUUUAAAGUCAAUUCCAGUUUGAUUUCCCUAUGACCUGCAAAGUAUGUGGUGUCUUCAGCAAUAGGGUUUUUUGCUGUCUAACUGUGGAGGACAACCAGGAGCUCUGACAACAGCUUCUGUUAUGAGUGUUUCUCGGUCUCCUUGACCAAUGACUCCUAAAGGGAUAUCCCACACCUAGUACUGAUAUUUUCAUUUAAGAACUUAUGUCUUCUUUGGGAAUCAUUGUUCCUCUAUGUAGGAACUUUAUGUUGCACCUCCAACUACUUUUAAAUUAUAUUUUUAAUUAGUUUACAAAGUAUGGAUUCCUAUAGAGGGUUUUCAUAUAUUUUUACUUUUGAUUAACCUACCCUCACCUUCUUCUCCCCCAUACACCCCUUGUCCCUGGUUAAACCAUUAACUCUCAGUAUUCCACCCUUCACCCCAUAGCCCUGCCAUCUUCAUAUUAUAUGUGUUCUAUUAUUCCCUUUUCCCUUAAGUCCUCUUUCCCUCUCAAGAGUCCUUUUUUGCUUCCUGGGCUUAGAGCUACUCCACAUUUACACACAAAUCUCAAAUUUUGAACUAGGAUCUACAUCUGAGUGGGAAUCUGUGACAUUUGUCUUUCUGGACCCGGGGUGCCUCACCUUUGAUCUGUUUUCCAAAGAUUUCAUUUUUCCUCAUAGAUAAAUAAAAGCCCAUUGUGUUUAUUUUGGUUUCCCACUCAUUGGCUCAUGGAUAUCUACGUUGAUUCCAUUCCCUAGCUAUUGCAAGCAGAGCGGUAAUGAGCCUGAUGAGUAAGUUUCUCCCUCGGAAGACUGGAGCGUUUGGGAUACAUGCCCAGGAGUAUCACGCCUGGGUCAUAUGGAAGUUCUAUUUUUAGCUUUUUGAGACACAUCCAGAUUGGUUUCCAUAGUGGUUGCCCCAGCAUUUGUUGUUAUUUGUUUUCUUGAUGAUAGGCGUUCUGACUGGGGUGAGAUGGAAUCUCAGUGUGGUUUCAGUUUGAUUUCUCUGAUGGCCAACGAUGUUGAACACUUUUAAAAAUGAUUUUUAACCAGCUAUAUUUUUGGUGUUGUUCAACUCCAUGGCCCAUUUUUAUCAUUUUGCUUUGCUUUGUUUUCUUGCUGUUUAUUUUCUUACAUUCUUGGUAUGACUUAGAGACUGAUGCUUGGCCAGAUUUGUAGUCGGCAAGUAUUUUCUCCCAUUCUAUAGGGUGCUUCUUCAUUUGACUGACAACUCUUUUUGUAUGUAUGCUUAGGACUCAUCUGAUUUUCUUCACUUUUACACAGAUCAGGGACCAAACCUAGGGAGUUGUGCCACUCACAAUAGGCUGGUUCUUCUGAUAUCAAUUAAUGUAAUUAAGACAACCCCCCCCACCACAGAAUACUCACAGGCCAACCUGUUCUAGACAGUCCUAUACUGAGACUCUCCUUAGGUAAUUCUAGGUUGUAUCCAGUUGAAAAUGAGAACUAUCCAUCUUGACAAGCAAAUGCUCUCACCUCUCCCAGUGCCCUCUGACCUUCUGUCACUGUCUCCCAUUGGUGGAGGUUAACAGGAAGUCAGGGUCAGGUGCCCAACUGAUACAAGGUGUGGAAGCCAGUCACAUUUAUCACAUGAGACAGAUCAUGGAGAUCAGCUAGGCCCAUGGAUAGAGCAGGUUUGCUCAGAAGGCAAAUGGACCACGUCCCAAACCUCCUUGUCCCCCACCACAGACCAUUCUCCAUGGAGCAGCCUGAGGAUACCAUGUGCUUUCAAUGGGAAGGCAGGACAAAGCAGAGCCACAAGGUGGCCAGAACCUGGACUUAUGCCACUCUAACUAGAGGAAGGCUGCCAGCUAAGCAGGAGAAGAGAAGUUGCAAACCACAUUUAUGUUGCAAACCACAUUUAUGUUGGAUUUACUACAUAUGUAGGUUUUUACAUAGCAACCCGACUCUGCAUACCCACAGAACAGGGCAGCACGGUUUCUUCUCUACAGCAUUGUUGGGAGACUUAAAUCAGGUAGAACUUGCUUCAAACGAUGCUUUCAAGCAUCACGAAUUCCCAAGCAAUGGCAGCAAUUAUUAUUAUUGCUUAGUAUGUGAAAGGAAUUCAAAAUCAUAACAUCUUUUCUUUUCUUUUCAUGUGUAUGUGUGGCUUGCAUGCACAGGUGUACACGUGUGGGUGUACAUGGUGUGUGUGUGUGGAGGUGCAUGUGUGUGCACCCACAUGGAGAGGUUUAAGGUUAACAUUGGGAAUCUCCCUAGAUUGCUUUAGGAGAACAGACAAACUGUGAGGAAUAUAUACAGAAGGUCAGCGUCCCCACCUCCAGCCCCAUCCCAGAGGCUUCUGACAGUGUGGUCUCUAGGGGUGGAGCUUAUGCCAGACUUCCCACAAGAAUUCACAGUGUGGCAUUCGGACCCCAAGAAGGCCUUUAGGGACACUGCAUCCAGGCCAGCACCUGAGUCUAUCCUGUAAGACAGAAUAGAGGUAAUCCUGCUUUCAAUAGGCUCAGCCUCUUCUGCUUUUGUGUACUGGCUUUUCUGGUUAUCCCGGGGACAGGACUCAGGUCAGAGAGAGGCUUCUCGAGAAUGUGGAGAGGAGAGGUAGGCCCAGCCUCUCCAGUACAGUAGUGAACCCAGCCUUCCCAGUGCCACUACAAAAUCACCAGGUAUGUGCCUGAGCCCAGUGGCCACUGCCCACCCCUGGGUGGCUCCCUACCCACAAGGCCAUGGCUUCUCCAUCAGCUAUCAGAAGGAGCAGGAGGUGCUUUGAGAUUCAGAAGAGGUAAUCAGACGGCCUGUAUUGCCAGUGUGGCUAUCAAGUAGCAGCAGAUACCUAGCCAUAAGCCUAUGACCAGGCCAGGGCAGGGUGUUCCCUGCUUUGAAGGAUUGUCCCCCAAGCCCCACCCCCAUGCAGAACAGACCAUUCUCAACUUUGCAGUGUUGCAACCAGAUGCAAGCUGCUGGCCUGGCUGGCCCAGUGGAAUGUACUGCUGGCUCUCUCUCUCUCUCUCUCUCUCUCUCUCUCUCUCUCUCUCUCUCUCUCUCUCUCUCUCUCUCAGGGAGUCUGGAUCCUGCCCCUUGGGGAGAGGCUGAGCUCACCAGCUUUCUCCAUUCCUCUUCUUGAUUGGCACUUUAAUGAGGGCAGAAGGGGCUGACCCCCUGCCAAGGGGCCAGUUCAUGCCCCGUUUAUCUCACAGCCCGAGUCAGACUAAAACAACACUGCAGGCCUAGCCGCCAGGAGCCUGGGGGCCUGCCGCCCCCACCCUGGGUGAUGGAUUGAGUGACCACAGUGAGCUGGCAGCUGAAGUGUGUGGUGGCCGCACCUUCCUGUCAGUGUGCAACAAAGGAGCCUGGCCCCACCGGCUGGCUGGCCAAACCGCUCUCCUCCUUGGGGCAGCUCCAGGGGCUUGGCCUUCCUCCCUGCUUCCUGAAUACCAGUGCCAAACUUCUAGAGACAGGUCUAGGGACUAGCCUGAUAUACUCUGGAACCAUUCUGGGGUCCUGGGGGGGCAAUGCCUGGAAUGAGGCCUUCUGAGGUUUCAAGCCUGGCUGACCAGAAAGUACAUUUUUUUGGGUUCCAAGUGUCAGGGUCCAAGAUGGACUUUUCUCAGCGGAUUCCCCAUCUCAUGCACAUCUGACCAGCUCUGAGCCCACUCAUGGGGGAGUCCAGCCAGGCCAUCUGUUUGCUGUGCAGCUGUGAGUGAAUUUAUCAACCUUGCUGAACCUUUGAGUCUUUUUCCCUAAAAGGCUUAUAUUUGUCUCCCUCAUUGGGUUUUUAUGAGAAUGAAGAUUAGGCAAAGCCAGCACUUCUAUAAGCCAGGUCUCAGGGGCUCAGUUUACCUGAUUGUUAAGAACUACCUCUCAAGUAUACACACACACACACACACACACACACACACACACACACACACACACACACACACACACACAAAGUGCUAUGGCACAAAUGUGGAGCUCAGAGAACAACUUACAGAGGUCACUUCUCUCUAUCUACAACAUGGGUUCCAGGGGAUCAAACUUGGGUCGUCAGGGUUGGCAGUAGACACUGUCACUUCCUGAGCCAUCUUGCUGGCUCCUUUGAUUGACUUUCUGAGGAGGUACCAGGGACAAACCCAACAUCUCAAUCAGGAGUUGUCUCACUCUCUCCACCGGCAUUCUAUCCUAUGGCUUCCGGAUGAAGCUCACUUUAUACAUUAGCCUCAAGGCUAAUUUAAUUUACCCAGUGUAGUGCAGAGUAGAGACAACAAUUCUAACAAGACGUGGCUCUGAAGACCACAAAGCUAUUCCCAAGACCCUGGGUAACAGACUGGAAUUUCCCACUGGGAAAAAGUGGACAACCCCAGAGGCCCCCACAGUCAAGGAGCUGGAGCAAGGUUUGUGACAUUCUUCUGGGCCACCUGGGUGAGUCAAGAUGCCAGCCUUUCUCAUGGCUCUGCUGAUGGCAUCAAGUGAACUUGAACUCUAAGCUAUUCCCCAGACCCCACAGAAAGCAGGAGCCACAGAGGGAAACACCCCACCCCACCCUGCCUUCAGCAAAGGGGCAUUGCCGUUGUAAAUCCUCUGCCUCAAGGCUCCCUGGGGCUUUGCACCAAGAAUAGACAGUCUCAAAAGUCCCAGCUGUUUGGUUCCUUGGAACUUCAUCUAUAAACCCAGGCCUCCCUGGAGAGGGGAGGGAACCAUUCUCCACUUGGAGGAGAUAUCACCUCUCUGUGAACUCCCAAAGGGCAGGAGGCCAAGUCCCAGCCAAGGUCAGAGGAAGUGACACGACCAUAAUAGGACUUCAUGUGGACCUUCUGGUUCUUCUUGCAGGCCCUCCAAAUCAGGGCUCUGUCCUUCAGCAAUAAUACCCUCCACACUGGACAAAAGGUGACAUUCUUGAACAAGGCAAGGUAGAUGGGGCCUUGGAAGGUGGGUUGAACCUCAAACUCUUAGCCAACAGACAUAAAUAGACUUUGGACCUUUAGUUAGGCCCAUGAGGCCGAGUGCCCAGGCUCAAGUCUGUGGAGCGGCCUUAAAACUUUCCCAGAGUCGUUUCUUCCUGUCUGUCAGCCCCAACUCAGCCUCCAGCACCCUUUUGCAGUGGUAUCGUCAGUAAAGCUUUCCCUCACUGAUCCUGCUCUCAGAGGGACCCCUCACCCCACUAGACAGAAUAAACUAUGUUCUAUUCUGGGUCAGGCUCUGCUGAACUCCACAAGCCAGUCCAAAAAGAUGCCACAUGUUAAUGUCAGGCUGUAAUAAGCCAGGCAGGCAGAGCUGUCUCUGCUUGCCUGGGGUCCAAACAGUCAGCCAGGCAUGUAUCUGACGCUUGCUAUUGCUAUGUCCUUACAGAAUGUCACCCCUGCUGUAUGAACACACUCCACCAGCCUGUGUCCAGGGACUGUCAUCUGAACAGAGAACUUUCUGAAUGGGCCAGGAGGAUGCUCUUGGAUGCUAUGAGAGCGUGUGGUGAGUGUGUCCGUGAUGUAGUGCAUGUUUUGGUGGCCAGAGGACAACUUGUGGGAGCUGGUUUUCUUUCUAUCAUGUAAGAUCUACAGACUGAACUCUGGCAGUCAGCCUUGAUAGCCACCGCCUCACCCAAGUCAUCCUGUCGGCCCAGUCCUUGUUCUCUCACACAUCUGAAAGGAAGUUGGGUGCAGUCCUGGCAGUAGUCACCCUUCUUCAUCCAGCCUGUCGCAAGCUGAGACACCACCCUAGGUCCCUUCAUUAUUGACAGAACCCAAGUCGCACAGACAUCACUCUGCCGCUGUGGCCAGCAUGGCUAGCCCAGUACUCGCCUUCUGUGACAGUGAGUCUUUGUUGCCAGCUUGACACAACUGGGAAGAGAGAACCUCAGCUAAGGAGGUCUCCAUCAGAUUGGCCUGUGGCUAUCUCUGUGGAGCAUUUUCUUGAUUGCUAAUUGGUGUGAGAGGGCCUACAGCACUGUGGGCAAUGCCAUCCAGGGCCUGGGCUGUACAAGGAAGGUAAACCUGAGCUGGGGGGCAGUGUUCCUCUGUCCUCACUGCUUUAACCCCUGCUUGAGCCCCUGCCAUGACUCCCUCAAUGAUGGACUGCGACCUGGAAGUGUGAGUCAAAUGAACCUUUUCCUCCCCAAAUUGAUUUUCGUCAUGGUGUUUCCCACAGUAAUGAGCGAACUAGGACACCUUCCUGUCUCAAUUUCAUGCUCCCAUUGUGAUCUGUCUGGCAGCUAUGACAGUCACACAUUCCUAGCCACCAGUAGAAUAAAGAUACAUGAAGGACAAAUUGUUCUGUCCCUGCCACUUCUGAGCCUCAGAGGCCUGUCCUCAGCACUGGGCUCUGGCUUGUGGGUGUAUAGAUGCCUGUGGUUAGAGCACAGCACGUAGUAAUGGGGACCUCACAGACAUGGGAUACACAUCCCUCUGUAGCCAAUAAGUGAUAUAGAGAAUGUUUUCUCUGUGUUUAUAUAUAUACUGUAUAUUUAUUGUUUGAAGGCCCAUAGGUCAACACUGGGUGUUGUCUUAUGACAUUGGGUUUGCUUGCUGUGAAGAGACACCAUGACUACAGCUACUUUUAUAAAGAAAACAAUUCACUGGGACUGGCUUACAGUUCAGAGGUUUAGUCCAUUAUCACAAUGGUGGGAAACAUGGCAGCGUGCAGGUAGACAUGGUAGCUGAGAGUUGAACAUCCGUAUGGGAAGGCAGCAAGAAGUAAGUGCAACACUGGGCCUUGCUUGAGCUUCUGAAAACCUCAAAGCCCCCUUCAGUGACACACUUCCUCCAAUAAAGCCACACCUCCUAAUAGUACCACUCCCUAUGGGCCUGUGGGGGCCAUUUUCAUCCAAUCACUUUGCACUAUAUUUUUAAGACAAGGGUUUCUCACCUAACCAGAAGUAUAUUGAUUUGGCUAGGCUGGCCAGCCAGGGAGCCCCAGAGGUUCUCCAGUCUCAGAUUUUUCAUCACUGGGAUUAACAGAUAAGCCACUGCAGACUGAGGUCCUCAUGCUGGCCCAGCGUGCACUUUGCCCACCAAGCCAUCUCCUAAGUCCCCUAAAAUGGGCUUUUGAGACAAGGAUAGCUUUGAACUCACAAUUCUUCUGCAGGAAUUAAAAGCACGCACCGCCACACCUAGCCAGUCAUUCCUUUUAAUAACUGCCUGUCAGUCCUAGUCUGGGUGAAUUGAGAUUUCUGCUUCUUUAAUUUGCAGUGAGGUAGGAGUUAUAGCCAUUCCUAAACACAGGGCUCAGGCAGUGUCACAUGGAUGGCUGUCAUUCAGAUCACCACACCAAAUAUUCUGAGCCUUAAAGACUUCCCUCCCCCGCCACCCAACCAGGCCAAUCCCAAAGAUAAUUACUAGACCUAUUUUGAACUUCCUUUGAAUUGAAUCAUGCCAAGCGAAGUCUUUUGUCUCUGUUCCCUUUUGCUCAAUAUUAUGUUUGUGAGAGUUACUCAUAUUGAUGUGUAUGGCAACAACCCAUUUGUUUUCAGUGUUGUAUAAUGUUCCACUGGAGGAAUCUUAACUAGAUAGAAAUGUACAUAGCUUCCAGUGUCCUACUUUUAAUAAACAAAAUGUGGUCAUAACAUUAUUUUUGCAAAUCUCUGUGUAUGCCUGAAUGUUUAUCUAUAGAGACUCCACAUGUCUAUUUGUUGGCAAUAAUUAAAGGUUUCUUUCUAUGCUUUG